AGCUCAACGAAGCAGGAAACCUGUACAUUUCCACCUCACUUCUGGAGUCAAAUUCCAUUGUGACGGCUUCAAAGUGGACACUUUGUAUCGAUGAUGACGUGGAAGGGGUGGCGAGAAAAAUGGACCGAAGGGACAUCUUAAUGGGCUUUCCGACCACGCGUCCAAAGAACAGCAUGUUCCGCUCAAUGACACGACAGUAGCUGCUUCCGUCGUUGAAAUUGCUUCCACGGAUGCAUCAAACGAAGGCGGACGUGUGAUGAGAGCUGAUUCUCACGCUCGCAGCCAUGGGGUUGGCUGCAAAUUCCAAGUGGCGUUGCUGCUCUGCAGGCUGCCAGAAGUCAAGCAAAUUCGAGGCCAGCACAGCUUCCAAAAGACAAAGAGAGAUACCACCAGCAAGGCAAGGCCACAGAAGCCCACCACCACGGCCAA